rnacentral:rRNA from 1 species
UGAGUAACCUGCCCUUCACUCUGGGAUAACUCCGGGAAACCGGGGCUAAUACUGGAUAUGACUCGAACAGGCAUCUGUUUCGGGUGGAAAGAUUUAUUGGUGGAGGAUGGACUCGCGGCCUAUCAGCUUGUUGGUGAGGUAAUGGCUCACCAAGGCGAUGACGGGUAGCCGGCUGAGAGGGCGAUCGGCCACACUGGGACUGAGACACGGCCCAGACUCCCUACGGGA